rnacentral:rRNA from 1 species
UACGUAGGGUGCAAGCGUUAAUCGGAAUUACUGGGCGUAAAGGGCGCGUAGGCGGCGUUUUAAGUCGGGGGUGAAAGCCUGUGGCUCAACCACAGAAUGGCCUCGAUACUGGGACGCUUGAGUAUGGUAGAGGUUGGUGGAACUGCGAGUGUAGAGGUGAAAUUCGUAGAUAUUCGCAAGAACACCGGUGGCGAAGGCGGCCAACUGGACCAUUACUGACGCUGAGGCGCGAAAGCGUGGGGAGCAAACAGG